rnacentral:misc_RNA from 1 species
AACACUUUAAUCCUCUGGGUUCUCCCUUCCUCUGAACAGUGAAGAAGUUUUGUCUCUCAACGAUUCCAGGAUCACAUCCACCAGCAAUAGAAACCGAGGCUUGCCUUUGUCCAUGCAACCCAAAGAACAAGACUCAAUUGGAAAGGAGCAGCUCUAAAAGGACCUUCACUUUCAACAACGUUCGCUUCACCAAAAGCAAAAGAACAAUGUUAGAUUGAAAAUACGCCCAAACAUUCAUCAUAGAUAUGCAAAAACAACUAUAAGGAAAUGUAUAAACAACCCAUGCAGAGAAGGGGCGGGGGAAGCCUCUGGAAGGCCAAGAACAACCGAUGCUGAGAGUCAGAGAAAACUUUGAAACAUAGAGAAAACGUCUCUCUCUAAAGAGAGAGAGACUCUCACUUGUAUA